GUGCGACAUGUGUGUGCAUAAAAAUACACCAGGAAUUGCAAGCUUUAAAUCUGAGAAAUUAUGAGCACAUCAUACAGACAUAGGGAGAUUUCUAAUCAUGAAUUUUUACAAUACAAAAUUCCACCCCACAAUUUCAGUAGUGUAGCGUUAGCUUACAAAAGAGAUUUUAAAUCAUAUUUGAUCAUUUUUAUAUCUGGCCGUGAGGUCACCUUCUGAGACUGAAUGCAUUGCGUUAGUUGUUCUGCAUUUAAAACAUACAUCUCUGAUCAUGCUGCUUAACUUAAAACAUCAGCCUCACCGAAAAAUGACAAUUGGUACUGUCACUUCAGCUGCAGUCGCUCACAGCAGUUCACGGGAAUGCAUUAAUAAUUUAACUAUCAUUUGUACAAACUGUCAUUUUUGAGCCUCUUAUCUAAAGUAUUUAUCGCAGAGUCAGGUAUUGUGUCCUUGCAGAAACAUUUUGUACAGCUUUUUUUCUAUUUUAGAAAUAAACAAAUGUGUAAAAGGAAAUGAAAUUAAUAGUAAAGUAACAUGAUUUAGGGGGGCGUGGGGGCACGGCAGGUUUGGCCAGUGUCUGCUGUGCGGUGGGUCUGGAGUUCGAGUCCUAUUUGGGGUGCAUUGCAACGCACUGGUGUCCCGUCCAGGAUGUGUCCCCUCCAGCCUUGCGCCCUGUGUUGUCGGGUGAGGCUCCGGCUCACAGUGACCCCAUUCGGGAUAAGCAGUUGUAGAAGUUGGUUGGUAAAAUGGUUUAGUGAAAAAGUGACAUUAAUUUGGAGUAAUGGUGACUAUUUAUUGAACUGACAUAGACAUUGUGCAACUUGGUCCUGGUUCCUUUUUCUGUGCUCUGAAUUCAGAUGGGAGCAUAUACAUUCAACAUGCUGACAGUGAGGACAGUGAAAGUGACAGUAAGGCUCUUUGAGGUCACUGACGUGGGUGCAGUGUUGCCAACUUGGGCGCUGGCCAUGCUGGAGGGGGUAGUAAGAAUAGUGGAGGAACUGGGAAGGCUAGUGCUUCCAGUGCUGCUACUCCCGGUGCUUGUGCCUUCAGUGUUGGUGUCACUGCUGCUCCCAGUGCUUUUACCUACAGUGGAGGUGUCAGUACUGCUGCUCCCAGUGCUUGUGCCCCCAGUGGUGGUGUCAGUACUGCUGCUCCCAGUGCUUGUGCCCCCAGUGGUGGUGUCAGUACUGCUACUUUCUGUGCUUUUACCUACAGUGGUGGUGUCAGUACUGCUGCUCCCAGUGCUUGUGCCCCCAGUGGUGCUGUCAGUACUGCUACUUCCUGUGCUUUUACCUACAGUGGUGGUGUCAGUACUGCUAUUCCCGGUGCUUGUGCCUCCAGUGUUGGUGUCACUGCUGCUCCCAGUGCUUUUACCUACAGUGGUGGUGUCAGUACUGCUGCUCCCAGUGCUUGUGCCUCCAGUGGUGGUGUCAGUACUGCUACUUUCUGUGCUUUUACCUACAGUGGUGGUGUCAGUACUGCUGCUCCCGGUGCUUGUGCCCCCAGUGGUGGUGUCAGUACUGCUACUUCCUGUGCUUUCACCUACAGUGGAGGUGUCAGUACUGCUGCUCCCAGUGCUUGUGCCUCCAGUGGUGGUGUCAGUACUGCUUUUCUCGGUGCUUGUGCCUCCAGUGUUGGUGUCAGUACUGCUGCUUCCGGUACUUAUGCUUCCAGUGGUGAUGCCAGUGCUUGUGCCGUCCGUGCUGGUACUAACAGUACUGGAGCCAGUUACUAGAUGGAUCAAAGAACAUCUAUGUUUAUACGUUUAUCUAACAAUUUUCUC
ensembl:lncRNA